GCCUGUUGUGUCUCACAGAUAACGCCACUCCACGUUAGUUAUACAGCUACAUAACAACCUACCUGUUGAGCCCUGCAUGUACGCGUCAUCCCUUGACGUACAGUAAAUUGACGACAACCUGUCUUUACAUAUCCAGACAAGGAACGACAACAUAACAACGUUCAUACCUUUACACUGACAGUGGACUACAUAACUUGUGUGUACUCGGCAGCAACCCAACAACGUUGAGUCAACAUGGAUCCCAGUCAUGUGGAACAACAAGAAGAGAUACAGCCCCCAGAGGGAAAUGUCCCAGAUCUAGAACUAUUACAAAAUCCGUCUAAUACCACACAUUUAGAUGAAAAUCCCGAGACUAGGCGAGUACGGGAUCUCACCGAAAAAGGUAAAGGAGCCUACACAGAAAAACGUAACAAGUUCUGUGAGGAAUUAGAGGUCCUUUGGUCAGAUAUAACGACCCAGUUAUUGGAAAUCACCACACCUCCCAAUGAACUUCAGCAAGUCUUAACAGCCCAG
rnacentral:lncRNA from 1 species